rnacentral:rRNA from 1 species
ACCUCGGAUCAGGUAGGGAUACCCGCUGAACUUAAGCAUAUCAAUAAGCGGAGGAAAAGAAACCAACAGGGAUUACCUCAGUAACGGCGAGUGAAGCGGUAACAGCUCAAAUUUGAAAGCUGGCUCUUUUAGGGUCCGCGUUGUAAUUUGUAGAAGAUGCUUCGGGUGUGGCCCCGGUCUAAGUUCCUUGGAACAGGACGUCAUAGAGGGUGAGAAUCCCGUAUGUGACUGGGUGCUUUCGCUCAUGUGAAGCUCUUUCGACGAGUCGAGUUGUUUGGGAAUGCAGCUCAAAAUGGGUGGUAAAUUUCAUCUAAAGCUAAAUAUUGGCCAGAGACCGAUAGCGCACAAGUAGAGUGAUCGAAAGAUGAAAAGCACUUUGGAAAGAGAGUUAAACAGUACGUGAAAUUGUUGAAAGGGAAGCGCUUGCAACCAGACUUGCGCGCUGAUGAUCAUCCGGGCUUCUGCCCGGUGCACUCGUCUGCGCUCAGGCCAGCAUCGGUUUCGGUGGUGGGAUAAAGGCCUUGGGAAUGUGGCUCCUCUCGGGGAGUGUUAUAG